AGAGACACAUGCAAUAUCAGAAUAAAUCUUUAUUAUGUGAGAUCAAUACAUCAUAUAUCACAUUAUCUAGAAAAAGGCACGAUUGCCAACAGCUGAGCAGGAUUGUUAAAUCGAACUUGUCUCAUAGAAAAUCACUUUGAUUUGCAAACAAAUAUCUCACAUGCCAGUCCACGAACCUAGGAAAAUAUAAAGGAGCCCGCAUUACACAAUAUCAGAAAUAAUUGCAUUUAUUUCAUUAGAAUUAAAAGAGAAUUGCAUAGGCUUAGUUAGAAGUAUCGCUAUUCUGCCAAACUGGAGGGAGAAUAAAACCGUAUCAGAGUAAUGAGGCAAUGAGGAGUGCAAACACAGGACUAAAACCGGUCUGUUGGCAAAUAAAGAUCAAUAAUGACCACACGGCCUAUUACUGCACGGCCUAUUACUGCUUGGGUAUCUGCAUUCAUAGCAAUAAUGACUACACGGCCUAUUACUGCUUGGGUAUCUGCAUACAUAGCAAUAAUGACUGCACGGCCUAUUACUGCUUGGGUAUCUGCAUACAUAGCAAUAAUGACUGCACGGCCUAUUACUGCUUGGGUAUCUGCAUACAUAGCAAUAAUGACUGCACGGCCUAUUACUGCUUGGGUGUCUGCAUACAUUGCAAUAAUGACUGCACGGCCUAUUACUGCUUGGGUGUCUGCAUACAUAGCAAUAAUGACUGCACGGCCUAUUACUGCUUGGGUAUCUAGAUACAUAGCAAUAAUGACUGCACGGCCUAUUACUGCUUGGGUAUCUGGAUACAUAGCAAUAAUGACUGCACGGCCUAUUACUGCUUGGGUGUCUGCAUACAUAGCAAUAAUGACUGCACGGCCUAUUACCGCUUGGGUAUCUGGAUACAUAGCAAUAAUGACUGCACGGCCUAUUACCGCUUGGGUAUCUGCAUACAUAGCAAUAAUGACUGCACGGCCUAUUACCGCUUGGGUAUCUGCAUACAUAGCAAUAAUGACUGCACGGCCUAUUACCGCUUGGGUAUCUGGAUACAUAGCAAUAAUGACUGCACGGCCUAUUACCGCUUAGGUGUCUGGAUACAUAGCAAUCAUGACUGCACGGCCUAUUACCGCUUGGG